rnacentral:rRNA from 1 species
AUUGAACGCUGGCGGCAGGCUUAACACAUGCAAGUCGAGCGAGCGGCGGACGGGUGAGUAAUGUCUGGGAAACUGCCUGAUGGAGGGGGAUAACUACUGGAAACGGUAGCUAAUACCGCAUACCCUCAGAUGUGCCCAGAUGGGAUUAGCUAGUAGGUGGGGAAAUGGCUAACCUAGGCGACGAUCCCUAGCUGGUCUGAGAGGAUUACCAGCCACACGUGAACUUAUACCCGGUCCAGAAUCCUACGGGAGGACGCAGUGGGGAAUAUUGCACAAUGGGCGCAAGCCUGAUGCAGCCAUGCCGCGUGUGUGAAGAAGGCCUUCGGGUUGUAAAGCACUUUCAGCGAGGAGGCGUUACUCGCAGAAGAAGCACCGGCUAACUCCGUGCCAGCAGCCGCGGUAAUUC